GGAGAGAUGCCCGAGUGGUCGAAGGGGCACGCCUGGAGAGCGUGUGUGGCGCAAGCCACCGUGGGUUCGAAUCCCACUCUCUCCGCCA
rnacentral:tRNA from 2 species